GAGCAUUGCAGUCUUGGAGUCCUGUUGAUAUUACUAGAAAAAUCAUUACUAGUCAGCGAACUUCUUUAUCUAAUUUCCUUAGAAUUUGUGAUUCAAAAAUCAAAUCAGUGAAGGAACUGAAAGCUCAAUUAUAGCUGGCUGGGGAAAUAUUUGAUUUUUUUGUGGAGGGGAGUUCCAAGUGAUUUUCUUGUUUUUAAUUUCUAGCUAUUGUCUUUUCCCUAGUAGACUCAUCUAACGUUGCUCCAAAUUUUCAUUUCAUCUUUCAAUUUUAUGUACAAUAAACAUGAAAUUCAUUUCCCG
rnacentral:misc_RNA from 1 species